CCUACGGGAGGCAGCAGUGGGGAAUUUUGGACAAUGGGCGCAAGCCUGAUCCAGCAAUGCCGCGUGAGUGAAGAAGGCCUUCGGGUUGUAAAGCUCUUUUGUCAGGGAAGAAACGGUUCCGGCUAAUAUCCGGGGCUAAUGACGGUACCUGAAGAAUAAGCACCGGCUAACUACGUGCCAGCAGCCGCGGUAAUACGUAGGGUGCAAGCGUUAAUCGGAAUUACUGGGCGUAAAGCGUGCGCAGGCGGUUUUGUAAGUCUGUCGUGAAAGCCCCGGGCUCAACCUGGGAAUUGCGAUGGAGACUGCAAGGCUUGAAUCUGGCAGAGGGGGGUAGAAUUCCACGUGUAGCAGUGAAAUGCGUAGAGAUGUGGAGGAACACCGAUGGCGAAGGCAGCCCCCUGGGUCAAGAUUGACGCUCAUGCACGAAAGCGUGGGGAGCAAACAGGAUUAGAUACCCGUGUAGUC
rnacentral:rRNA from 1 species